rnacentral:rRNA from 1 species
GUGAACGCUAGCGGUGCGCCUAACACAUGCAAGUCGAACGCCCCGCAAGGGGAGUGGCAGACGGGUGAGUAACACGUGGGAACGUACCCUUCGGUUCGGAAUAACACAGAGAAAUUUGUGCUAAUACCGGAUACGUCCGAGAGGAGAAAGAUUUAUCGCCGAAGGAUCGGCCCGCGUCUGAUUAGCUAGUUGGUGAGGUAACGGCUCACCAAGGCGACGAUCAGUAGCUGGUCUGAGAGGAUGAUCAGCCACAUUGGGACUGAGACACGGCCCAAACUCCUACGGGAGGCAGCAGUGGGGAAUAUUGGACAAUGGGCGAAAGCCUGAUCCAGCCAUGCCGCGUGAGUGAUGAAGGCCUUAGGGUUGUAAAGCUCUUUUACCUGGGAAGAUAAUGACUGUACCAGGAGAAUAAGCCCCGGCUAACUUCGU